rnacentral:rRNA from 1 species
UACGUAGGGUGCAAGCGUUGUUCGGAAUUACUGGGCGUAAAGGGCUCGUAGGCGGCCAACUAAGUCGGACGUGAAAUCCCUCGGCUUAACCGGGGAACUGCGUCCGAUACUGGAUGGCUUGAGUUUGGGAGAGGGAUGCGGAAUUCCAGGUGUAGCGGUGAAAUGCGUAGAUAUCUGGAGGAACACCGGUGGCGAAGGCGGCAUCCUGGACCAACACUGACGCUGAGGAGCGAAAGCCAGGGGAGCAAACGGG